AGUGAACGCUGGCGGUAGGCCUAACACAUGCAAGUCGAACGGCAGCACAGUAAGAGCUUGCUCUUACGGGUGGCGAGUGGCGGACGGGUGAGGAAUACAUCGGAAUCUACUUUUUCGUGGGGGAUAACGUAGGGAAACUUACGCUAAUACCGCAUACGACCUACGGGUGAAAGCAGGGGAUCUUCGGACCUUGCGCGAUUGAAUGAGCCGAUGUCGGAUUAGCUAGUUGGCGGGGUAAAGGCCCACCAAGGCGACGAUCCGUAGCUGGUCUGAGAGGAUGAUCAGCCACACGGGAACUGAGACACGGUCCAGACUCCUACGGGAGGCAGCAGUGGGGAAUAGUGGACAAUGGGCGCAAGCCUGAUCCAGCCAUACCGCGUGGGUGAAGAGGGCCUUCGGGUUGUAAAGCCCUUUUGUUGGGAAAGAAAAGCAGCAGGUUAAUACCCCGCUGUUCUGACGGUACCCAAAGAAUAAGCACCGGCUAACUUCGUG
rnacentral:rRNA from 1 species